CAGAAAUCCCAGCAAUGAUUUCUCCCUUUUCAACCGUUAACUUUGACUCAAAAUUGGUGUGCAGCUUGAUCUUCAAGUGCUUCAACACCAUGCCAAAUUUCAGCUUGAUCCAACUGAUAGAUCUCCAAAUAUCACAGAAAUCCUAUCCAAUCUCAAAUUGCCAACUUUUAAAACUCUCUUGUGCUAAAAACCAAAUAUCUCUAAACCACACUGUUAGAUUAUCACAAAAUUUUGUAUACACUUAGCACAUCCAAUAAUCCAAACAAUAACAAUUUUUUAAUCAUAGAUACUAUACUAAUUGCACAAACUAGCCAAAAUUACUAAUCCUAAUUAUAUUAUAGAAAACCCAAAUCACCAAUAUAAAUCUUGACUUUGAAUAAAAAUUGCUAAGUCCUCAAAAACCUUCUAAAAAAAAUCCUUAUGCCUUUGAAAAGAACUUCAAGCUAGCUCUCAAAUCUUAUCCUCCGAUCUUUGAAUAAAUCCCUAUUUUGCCCUAGGCUGUCAUUUUUGUGGCCAGAGAUUUGAUUUUGAUCCUGUCUCACAAACGGCCAACCCUCGAGUAUCAAUCUAACCUAUCCUAAGGACUUUUUAGCCCAACCCUACUCUCAACUUAAUCCUAUUACCAACUAUAUUAAUUAUUUACCUCUUCUAACUUUAUUUUAUCAAUUUAUGGUCUUUCUAAGGUAGUAGAAGA
rnacentral:lncRNA from 1 species